rnacentral:tRNA from 1 species
AAUAAGAUAGGAUAUAUGUAGUCUGUUAGGUUCAUACCCUAAAGGUUUUUCUUGUUA